rnacentral:rRNA from 1 species
GUGCCAGCAGCCGCGGUAAUACGAAGGGGGCUAGCGUUGUUCGGAAUUACUGGGCGUAAAGGGCGCGUAGGCGGCCUUGUUAGUCGAGUGUGAAAGCCCUGGGCUUAACCCGGGAAGCGCGCUUGAUACUGCAGGGCUUGAGUGUGGGAGAGGUUGGUGGAAUUCCCAGUGUAGAGGUGAAAUUCGUAGAUAUUGGGAAGAACACCGGUGGCGAAGGCGACCAACUGGACCACAACUGACGCUGAGGCGCGAAAGCGUGGGGAGCAAACAGGAUUAGAUACCCUGGUAGUCCACGCCGUAAACGAUGUGUGCUAGACGCUGGAGGACCUAGUCUUUCGGUGUCGCAGCUAACGCUUUAAGCACACCGCCUGGGGAGUACGGCCGCAAGGUUAAAACUCAAAGGAAUUGACGG